rnacentral:rRNA from 1 species
UACAGAGGUGGCAAGCGUUGUUCGGAAUUACUGGGCGUAAAGGGCGCGUAGGCGGUUCGAUAAGUCCCGUGUGAAAGCCCCCGGCUCAACUGGGGAACUGCACGGGAAACUGACGGACUUGAGUUCGGGAGAGGGAAGCGGAAUUCCGGGUGUAGCGGUGAAAUGCGUAGAUAUCCGGAGGAACACCGGUGGCGAAGGCGGCUUCCUGGACAGGUACUGACGCUGAGACGCGAAAGCGUGGGUAGCAAACAGG